GCGCGCUUGAGGGGCUGCGGUCCCAUUGACUAUUCCGUCUCCCUGACAGCGGCAGCAUCAGCAGCAGCAGCGCGAGCACGGAAAAACAGAGCACCGUGCGGACUCCGCCUUUGCUCCCAUCAUCCCGCCUGAGAGCCCGAGCUCCGAGGCGGCUACAUCAACCGGCGCAAGACACCCCUCGUCGACUCGCACUUAUCCCGCGGAUCAGAUAUGGACUACCCUUAACUGGACCUGGAGGGGAGAGGCAGGCGGGCGGGCGGGGGGUGGGGGGGAGAGAGACAGGAGAAAAAGCCGUAUAGGAAGAGAAGCACAACCGUGGGUGCCCGCCGCAACGAUGAACGGUUCGCCACGCUCGCGACAACCGCAGAUAAGCCAUCGGACUAUGUCCUGAAUAGCGGUUUACAUAGCGGGGAUUGUGCAACGAUCAAACAGGGGUAAAAUAUGUCCGCCUCGGUGGGGCCCCGCGGCGGCCCUCGCCCACCCACAAAGCAGAACUCCAUGCCCGAUCUGCCGGACCUCAGUCACCUCACCGAGGAGGAGAGGAAGAUUAUCAUGGCUGUGAUGGCUCGGCAGAAGGAGGAAGAGGCGAAGGAUGAGGCCAUGCUCAAAGAGGAGAAGCCCAUACAAGCAAAAACAGUGAACCUGGUUGGGAACAAGAAACCACCUCAGCAGAACGACAUCAGUUUGCACCAGCAGUUUGCCAACUACAAGGAGCAGGUGAGGCGGACUGGCCCGGAGCCCCAGCAGAGGCAGCAGGGCCAACACAAGGAUGACGCCCCCACCUGUGGCAUCUGCCACAAGACCAAGUUUGCUGACGGCUGCGGAAACCUGUGCUCCUACUGCCAGACUAAGUUCUGUGCCCGGUGCGGAGGACGGGUCUCUCUGCGCUCCAAUAACAAGGAGGACAAAGUGGUAAUGUGGGUAUGUAACCAAUGCCGAAGGCAACAGGAUAUGCUCACAAAAUCAGGAGAUUGGUUUCCCAGUCAAGUGCCCAAGCCUGGAGAGCUGGGGUCGGCAGUGAGUGAACCAGCCAUGUGUGGAGACCCCUCUGGGGACAAGAAGAUGCGCUCUAGGUCUCAGAACCCUCUCGACUCCUCCAUUUCCACUGCCCAUAUUACCCAGACAUCUGCCCCAACCGACCCUAGAAAAUGUCCUUCUGCAGGCCCAGCUGAUACACCAUCAUCGCGCUCACGCAGUGAGCCUCCACAAGAUAGAAAAAAGCCACCAGCAGCCUCUGAUCAAAAUGGAAAGCCAGGGCCAAGAGGUGAGAGGCGGCAAAGGCUUUCCAAAAUCCAUUCCGAAGAGCGGGACACCGGAGAAAAUCGUAGAGAAAGUCGAAAACUGAUGAAAACUCGCUCUCAGGAGCAUGACAGUCCUGAGACAAGGAGGACAGAGGGGGAGCAGAAACCACCCAGGGAACAGUGCAGGACUGACCCAAACGCUCCACAUCACCCGGGGAAACUCCGGCCAACGGAGCCUGAUGGACGCUUGCACCCUAAAUCAAGGGAAGGGGGGGACAUGGUGCAAGACAACAGAGGUGCACGUAGAUGGGCAGAUGGGCGACAGGCCUCAUUGGAGGGCCCACAGCCAACCUAUGUGCCAGAGAGGACCGCGGGGGAAACAGGUUUGCAGGGUAUGCCUGCCAUGCAGGGUCCAACACCUAAAACCAACCACACCCCUCAGCCUCCUGCACCGGGGUUCAAACUGGGCCCUGCUAUGCCCACAGGUCCACCUGAGCUUAGGGAGCCUCAGGAAUGGGACAGGAAGUUGCAGCCGAGCCACCUGGACCCCGGCUCGGCUGCACUUUUGCGCAAAUCAAAACGGCAAAAAGCAGAGAGCAUGCUGCGCAAUGAUUCGCUCAGCUCUGACCAAUCAGAGUCUUUGCGACCACCCCCACCCCGCCCCUAUAAGAGCAAACGGGGUGGCAACAAAAGGCAGAUGUCCGUCAGCAGCUCAGAGGAAGAGGCCGGUUCCACACCAGAGUACACCAGCUGUGAAGAUGUGGAGAUCGAGAGUGUCAGUGAGAGAGGGGACUGGGAGUGCUGUCCACUGGACCCCACUGCGUGGCAUCAUCCGGUUACAUGGCAGCCCUCCAAAGAAGGUGAUCAUUUAAUUGGCCGAAUCACUUUGAGCAAGAGAACAGCCAUGCCAAAAGAGGCUGGGGCUCUGCUAGGGCUAAAGGUGGUCGGGGGGAAGGUUACAGAAACUGGGAGACUUGGGGCCUUCAUCACCAAAGUCAAGAAAGGAAGUCUAGCUGAUGUAGUGGGUCAUUUACGGGCUGGUGACGAGGUGCUUCAAUGGAAUGGUAAAUCAUUACCAGGAUUAACCAAGAAAGAAGUUUACAAUAUCAUCUUGAAUUCCCAAGCAGAACCACAAGUUGAAUUAAUAGUAUCAAGGCCAAUUGGUGAUAUACCAAGAAUACCAGAAACCUCACAUCCUCCAUUAGAAUCAACUGGUUCAAGUUCCUUCGAGUCUCAAAAGAUGGAAAGACCCUCUAUAUCUGUCCUGUCCCCAUCCAGUCCCAGUGGUCUUCGAGAUGCUCCUCAGCUUCUGCCAGGACAGCUGUCGGUGAAAAUGUGGUAUGAUAAGGUCGGCCAUCAGCUGAUAGUCAACGUACUGCAGGCUAAAGAUCUGCCACCUAGAUCAGAUACACGACCCAGAAACCCCUACGUUAAAAUGUACUUCCUGCCUGAUAGAAGUGAUAAGAGCAAGAGAAGGACGAAGACAGUGAAGAAAAGUCUGGAGCCCAAGUGGAACCAGACGUUUGUGUACUCUCAUGUCCAUCGACGGGACUUCAGAGAGCACAUGCUGGAGAUUACAGUGUGGGACCAACCCAGAAUACAGGAGGAGGAGAGCGACUUUCUGGGAGAAAUCCUCAUUGAGCUGGAGACUGCCCUGUUGGAUGAUAAACCUCAUUGGUACAAGCUGCAGACCCAUGACGUGUCCUCCAUCCCACUGCCACAUCCGUCGCCAUUCCUGCCCCGCAGACACGGACACACAGAGACACCCACCAAAAAACUGCAGCGCUCGCAGCGUAUUACAGAAACUGAUUAUGAUGAUACUAUUGGCGUAGUCGCCACAGCUACAGAAAACCGAUCCAGAGAAAGAGAACGAGAGCGAGACAGAGACCGAGCAACGACAUUAGAGGUUCCUGACCAGCAGAGACCAACUCAGUAUCGCUCUCGAUCCGUGUCUCCACACCGAGACGAGGACAGGGGAAGAUCCCGACCUCCAAAUGUCCCAGCACAGAGGAGUCUGGAUGAAGUCCAGCACACUCGAAGAUCCCGUUCCCCAACCCGAUACCACGACCGCAACCGUCUUCAAGAAAGAGACUACAUAGACGACAGUGAGGUCAUCUUGAUACACAGAUCAAUGCGGGGUAGAAGCGCAGAGUGUCUGCACACCCAAAGGAGUUCAUCUAAGUACAGUAGCACUCUGCCUCCCAAGAUGCCUUUAUUAGUUAAUGGAAUUCAUAAGGAUAUUUACAGCUCAACACUUCCUGCAUGCCUUAAGUCAAAGUCACGGCUGUCAGUAGUCACUGCCACUCAUCGUACAGUUACACGUCGAGUUCUUAGGUUCACAGACACGAUCUGCAUUAGUGAUCUGCAGCCCUCUCUUGACAGGGUUAGAAGUGCUAGUACCAACUGUCUGAGACCAGAUUCUAAUUCCAAUUCACCUGAUCGAGAAAGGAGCACGCAGUCUCUGCCCCGUACCAGACCCAUGAGCCCCAGGAUCCUAAUUCAGCAUGCCUCCCCAGAAGACGACAGCUGGGUUUUGGAGGCAAUGUUCCCCGCUCAGGAGACACUGCACCACCUCAGUGCAAAGCCAGACCCACAGAGGCAGUCAAGAGCUCUGGACAGGCCGAGCUGUCAGAAACUUGGCAGGAAAAUGUCUGACAGCGAGCGGGUGCAACCACACUCCAGCCCCGCAUUCUCAUCAUCAACAGCAGCAAAUUCAUCCGCACGCAAGGUCAGACAGCUUCCCCAAGUCCCCGCCAAAAGCAGCAGUGUAGAACAAGCUCUUGCGUCAGAGGAGCGAACGCGGCAAAUGAAAGUACGAACCUUUCGAACACCAGCUCCCUCCAGUACCAGCCAGGACCUGGAGAGGGCGCUCAAGAAUAAACGAGAGCUUUAUAAGGAGCAGCGAAGGAGUUGUGACAAUGUGUCCCAUAAGUCCUCAGACAGUGAUGUCAGUGACGUGUCAGCCAUCUCUCGUGCCAGCAGUGCCUCGCGGAUCAGUAGCACCAGCUACAUGUCCAUUCAAUCAGAACGACCCAGGGGUCGCUUUAGCCGUCAUAUUCGUCCAUCCAGCCGCAGCAUGCUGAAGAGUACGAGUGUCAGUGGGGAAAUCUAUACUCUGGAGCGUACGGAUGGCAGCCAGUCAGAUACUGCUCUGGGAACACUGGGAUCAGAAGGGAAGAAGCGCAGAUCCAGCCUUAGCGCACGAGUAGUCGCCAUCGUGGGCAUCCCCUCCCGCCGCAGCAGGAGCACCUCUCAGCUCAGCCAGACAGAAGCAGCCAACAAGAAAGCAAAAGGAUCCAGUCAGAUUCAGCGGAGUCAGGAGACAGGAAUGGCAGUGGAGUAUCCCCGAAAUGUCAUGGCCCGACAGGCCAGCCGAGAGUCCACUGACGGCAGCAUGAACAGCUACAGCUCUGAGGGCAAUCUGAUCUUCUCAGGGAUGAGGUUAGGGGCCGACAGCCAGUUCAGUGACUUCUUAGAUGGUCUUGGUCCUGCUCAGUUGGUGGGUAGACAAACUCUUGCCACACCUGCUAUGGGAGAUGUUCAGAUUGGACUGAUGGAUAAGAAAGGGCAGCUUGAGGUGGAGGUUAUCAGGGCCCGUGGUCUUACACCUAAACCAGGUUCCAAAUCGCUGCCGGCUCCCUACGUCAAGGUCUAUUUGCUGGAGAAUGGAGCGUGCAAAGCCAAAAAGAAAACCAAGAUUGCACGGAAAACGCUUGAUCCUUUGUAUCAGCAAUCGCUGUUGUUUGAGGAAAGUCCGCAGGGUAAAGUUCUCCAGGUAAUAGUCUGGGGAGAUUAUGGCCGCAUGGACCACAAAUGCUUCAUGGGAGUUGCACAGAUUUUUCUAGAGGAGCUGGAUCUUUCUAGCACAGUUAUUGGCUGGUACAAACUGUUUCCCCCGUCAUCAUUAGUUGACCCGACUUUAGCUCCACUCACCCGUCGCGCUUCCCAAACAUCACUGGACUCUUCAGGGCCACCGGGCACCAGGUCCUAAUGAACGGACAGGAGCUUGACGCCAAAAUACAAACAAACUCAAAACCACGGUGACCCCAGUGGACCAAGAGACCUGAGGCAACAACAAUCAGAACCGGAGCGGCAGACGGACAGAACCACGAUCAAAGCUUUGCUGAAGCCUGACAAUCACUUCUCUCUUUUACUUUUGAUCUUUGGGUUGUAGAGAUUUCCUUUGAUCCACUCUGCUCCUUUACUGCAUGUUUCGUUGCUGAUUUGACCCAAAUCAACAGAGAGGAACAGGACAGGAAGAAGUGGUGCCCCGUAGCCUAGAUCGCUGUGGUCAGUCAGAGUGUGGGUUUUCUCAGAGCGAGAGGACAGCACUGCCCCUCCUCGAAUAAUAUUGCACUUACAGGAAGCUCGAGGAUUUAAGGUGGAGAUUUAGUCUUCUCAGAGAGUCUCCUCUCUGCAUCACGGAUGCUGCGUCCCGAGCCCCGCCGUGUUUGGCACCAACUCAGAUUGUGUGUGUGUGAGUGUGUUUGUGUGCGGACGAAUGAAUGAAUGAGCGAGUGUUUGCGAAAGCAGGGGCGCCUGAGAACCUUUUAAGUCUGUUUACAGCAGUCACCAGCGACUGCUUUGCCUUUUCACGUUACUGUUGAUUUGGUAAAUAGGCACACUUUGUAGAAUGUGAAAACAUGCUUCAUGUUUUCUGAUGUUUGUGUCAUUCGAGCUUCACGGAAGACACAAAAAAACACUUGUAUUCGAUUCACAGAGACUGUAAGAAGCUGCCACUAUCAUUUCGGUUCACUAACAUCACAGAUCGCAUCUUUAGCAUUUUUAAUUCUAUUCCGUUUGGUAAAGGACUUGUACAUACCGAUAUUAGGAUUUCUACCCGACUAGAGUUUACAUUAUUUUAAUGCAAGCACAAUGCUUGAUUUUUGAACAAAAAAAGAUAAUAAAAAGAAAAGGAGAUUGAUGAUAGUAACAAUAAAUAAUAAUAAAAAAAUGACAGAGAACGAGAGGCCAAAAUCGUAAGCUUCCUAUUUUUAGCUGUUUGUCAUGGAUUUAGUUUAUUUUAAAACUCCCCCUGAGCAUUUUGAAUGUGACAGUGAGACGUGGUCUCCGCUUAAGACCACACGACGCCAACAAGGGGAACAGCAUGAAUCGGGAACUGUUCCAAGUUGCAUGCACAUUUUGUAAAACAAGACAGAUGAGAAAAAAAAGAGACUACAAUAAGUGUGUGUUAGUUCCACAAAACUGUAGGCCAGCUUGUAUGUUGCAUGUACUUGUACAGUUUGCUUGUACUUGAUAUAAAUAGAUUAUCAAAUAAAAACGAAGCCAUUCAUUCCAUGUGUGGGCAUUUGGCCAGGUUCAGCCAUACACACAGGCCUUAUUUUGGGGCUGAAUGUCGAUAAGAAUUUUUCUAAUUCCUUUAUUUUCUUUUCUUUUGAAACCCUGGAUGGAUAAAUAAGUGCUGUACUGUAGAACCGAGCAAACACAAGGCCCUGUUUUCUUGAAGAUGUUGGUGUUCACUGUAGUCUGUACUACCGUGGCCUAAAACUAAGGUAGACAACCUGUAUAAAAAAUAAAAAUAUAUAUAUCUAGAGCUAUCUGUAUAUGGAGUAUAAAAUCACAAUGACUUAGAGAUAUAUCGAUAUUGAGAUGGAGUGUGUCAAGUAAACAUCACUUACGUACAUGCAUAUAUUGUAAAUAUGAGUCUGCAGAGAGGUUUACUUAUAUUUACAAAGCGGCCCCAUCUAGUGCUCUGUCUCUUGGUUCUGCUGAGCGGAAGAAGGGACACCUCAAAAGUUUUAUUUUAGUGAUGCCCAAACCCCGUCGAAUGAAAUUUGGACCUCUACCGACCGGUUGCUUUGUCAUAAACGCUCACGAAUCCUCGUUUCAAAUGAGAAGUUUACUUUCUAUGCCUGCUUACGGCAGACUUAUUUACUUUGUCAGUAUUAUUCAAGGAUACUGAUUGUUUACAGUUCAUGUGUUCCACUGAAACAAAAUUGAAAGUAUUCACUGCAACAUUUCUUGUUUGUACAGCAGAUGUGGCUCAGAUAAUGUGUAUGUUUUAUAAUCAAGAGUUCAUUUUUAUUAUUUACAAAUAAAAGACUGUGUGGAAGAA